GGGUUGUGAGGUUAAGCGACUAAGCGUACACGGUGGAUGCCCUGGCAGUCAGAGGCGAUGAAGGACGUGCUAAUCUGCGAUAAGCGUCGGUAAGGUGAUAUGAACCGUUAUAACCGGCGAUUUCCGAAUGGGGAAACCCAGUGUGAUUCGUCACACUAUCAUUAACUGAAUCCAUAGGUUAAUGAGGCGAACCGGGGGAACUGAAACAUCUAAGUACCCCGAGGAAAAGAAAUCAACCGAGAUUCCCCCAGUAGCGGCGAGCGAACGGGGAGCAGCCCAGAGCCUGAAUCAGUGUGUGUGUUAGUGGAAGCGUCUGGAAAGGCGCGCGAUACAGGGUGACAGCCCCGUACACAAAAAUGCACAUGCUGUGAGCUCGAUGAGUAGGGCGGGACACGUGGUAUCCUGUCUGAAUAUGGGGGGACCAUCCUCCAAGGCUAAAUACUCCUGACUGACCGAUAGUGAACCAGUACCGUGAGGGAAAGGCGAAAAGAACCCCGGCGAGGGGAGUGAAAAAGAACCUGAAACCGUGUACGUACAAGCAGUGGGAGCACAGAGCAAUCUGUGUGACUGCGUACCUUUUGUAUAAUGGGUCAGCGACUUAUAUUCUGUAGCAAGGUUAACCGAAUAGGGGAGCCGAAGGGAAACCGAGUCUUAACUGGGCGUUAAGUUGCAGGGUAUAGACCCGAAACCCGGUGAUCUAGCCAUGGGCAGGUUGAAGGUUGGGUAACACUAACUGGAGGACCGAACCGACUAAUGUUGAAAAAUUAGCGGAUGACUUGUGGCUGGGGGUGAAAGGCCAAUCAAACCGGGAGAUAGCUGGUUCUCCCCGAAAGCUAUUUAGGUAGCGCCUCGUGAAUUCAUCUCCGGGGGUAGAGCACUGUUUCGGCAAGGGGGUCAUCCCGACUUACCAACCCGAUGCAAACUGCGAAUACCGGAGAAUGUUAUCACGGGAGACACACGGCGGGUGCUAACGUCCGUCGUGAAGAGGGAAACAACCCAGACCGCCAGCUAAGGUCCCAAAGUCAUGGUUAAGUGGGAAACGAUGUGGGAAGGCCCAGACAGCCAGGAUGUUGGCUUAGAAGCAGCCAUCAUUUAAAGAAAGCGUAAUAGCUCACUGGUCGAGUCGGCCUGCGCGGAAGAUGUAACGGGGCUAAACCAUG
rnacentral:rRNA from 1 species